rnacentral:lncRNA from 1 species
UAUAAUCUAGCAAAAAGUACUACAGAAUAGCAGAAAAUCUAUCAUUGAGCAAAAUUACUAGGAUUUAGCAGAAAUACUAUGAUUUGGCACAAAUACUAUGUUUUAGCACAAAAAAUAUGUUUUGGCUCAAAACUUUAUUUUGCAGUUAUACUAUGAUUUGGAAGGUGGAGGGGUGGAGGGGUGAUAUGGUGUGGUUUCUAUGAUUAAGAACAGGGUAUACAUUACAACAUGAAUACAGAUUAAAGAUUAAAGAAACUGGCAACAAAUUCCUCCACUACAAACCAGUCUGAUACCACUUCUUGCAGUGUUCACAUUUUCACGUUUACUAAGGCACUACCCAAAAGGCGCCACAAGAGGGCACUCCAACACAAGAGAUGACCUAUGUACACUGAUGCACUUAGUAACAGUCAGCCUCCUUGAAUUGGCAGAAAUACUGUGACUUAGUAGUAAUACUAUAACAUAACAGAUAUACUGUGAUGUUGCAGACAUAGUAUUGUUUUGCACUACUCAUUUGUAGUGAAAAAAAUUAGCAAUAUAAAUGACAGGUCUGUGAUAGUGUAUAAAUUUGUAGUGAAAAAAAAAUGUUGACCAAGGUGGGAUUGAACCCACGACCUUGGAGCUGCAGAGCCGUGUCAUUACUGAUUGCGCCACCUGGAAAGGGGGCAGGUGUCUGAAAAACAUAGACAUCAGCAAUCAGAAAUAGAUCGCGAUGAGAGGCGAAAAGUGCCGUUUUUUGGAGUUACAAAACGUCGUGUAACUCAAAAACUAGGAGGGCUAGCAGCAUAAUUCUUGUUGAAAAUUCUGCUUAAAAUAGGUGAAUCAGCAGAAUUUCUACUGAAAACAGGUAAAGAAGUAGAAAGUUGCACUGAAAACAGGUGAAACAGCAGAAUUUCUGCUAAAAAACAGAUUUCUGCUGAAAACACCUGAAAAAGCCGGGAUUUGUGUUGAAAAGGGGUGACGAAACUCAGAAUUCUGCUUAAACGGGGUGAAGAAGAGGUGUUGUGGUCUUGAGAAGAGUUAAAUAAGUUGAACUGAUAUGUUUGGGUACAAAUACUAUGAUUUGGCAAUAAUACUGCGUUUUAGCACAACUACUGAGAUUUGAUUAAAAUAUUAUGACUUUGUACAAAUACAAUGUUUUGGCACAAAUACUAUGAUUUAGUUCGAAUGCUAUGAUUUGAAACAAAUACUAUGAUUUGGCAGAAAUACUAUGAUUUAUUAGAAAUACUAUAAUUUACCAGAAAUACUAUGUUUCUGCAAAAAC